rnacentral:rRNA from 1 species
UACGUAGGGUGCAAGCGUUAAUCGGAAUUACUGGGCGUAAAGCGUGCGCAGGCGGUUUUGUAAGUCCGAUGUGAAAUCCCCGGGCUUAACCUGGGAACUGCAUUGGUGACUGCAAGGCUUGAGUGUGUCAGAGGGAGGUGGAAUUCCGCGUGUAGCAGUGAAAUGUGUAGAUAUGCGGAGGAACACCGAUGGCGAAGGCAGCCUCCUGGGAUAACACUGACGCUCAUGCACGAAAGCGUGGGGAGCAAACGGG